ensembl:snRNA
GUGUUAUAUAAAUGGAGAGAAGGUUAGCACCCCCUUGAUAACAAUGGAGACUUUAUAUAUCAUCUAAUGCAAUUUCUAGAAAUAAAUUUU